rnacentral:rRNA from 1 species
GGGCCCGCACAAGCAGUGGAGCAUGUGGUUUAAUUCGAUGCAACGCGAAGAACCUUACCUAGGCUUGAAAAGCUUAUGACCGGCUGUGAAAGCAGCUUUCCCGCAAGGGCAUAAGUACAGGUGCUGCAUGGCUGUCGUCAGCUCGUGCCGUGAGGUGUUGGGUUAAGUCCCGCAACGAGCGCAACCCUUACCAUUAGUUGCCACCGGAGCAAUCCGAGCACUCUAAUGGAACUGCCUACGCAAGUAGUGAGGAAGGUGAGGAUGACGUCAAGUCCGCAUGGCCCUUACGCCUAGGGCUACACACGUGCUACAAUGGCCGCCACAACGGGCAGCAAAAUCGCGAGAUGGAGCGAAUCCCUAAAAAGCGGCCUCAGUUCGGAUUGGAGUCUGCAACUCGACUCCAUGAAGUUGGAAUUGCUAGUAAUCGCGUAUCAGCAUGACGCGGUGAAUACGUUCCCGGGCCUU